GAUACUGAUGAACAUUAAUAACUCCUGUCAUACAAUGGUACUCUGUGACUCUGAGUGUUGUGAAAGAAGGGAGGAGAUGGCAGACAAAAGGUCAAAGAAAAGAAAAGAGAAUGACCAGAAAACAACAACAAAAAAGACACAGCUAAUGAAGAGGAGAAAGAAAAAUCUCAUCUGUGAUGACGGGGAGGCAGCUGCUGCUCGAGGGAGCAGUGCCCUUGCUCCGGUGUGGGACUCUGAAACAACCUUCUUCAAUUUGUAAAGAAGCCCCCUGUGAACCAUCCCAGCACCUCAUGAAGAUAAACUCCAGCAACACCCCAGAGAGACACUGAGUGGCAACUGGACACCCAAAGGGCUACAGAAGGUGCUGGGUUACCUGUAAUCCAGGGAAACAAAUGGAGUACCGUAUGCAUCUGGAGAGAGCUGUGGAAAUAGGGGUGAGGCUACCUCUUUUACACUAAAAAUGCACAAAAAUGAGACCGAUGGUUGUUUACACAGACUGUCUAUGUAUGAGGGAGACUGGAGCCCAGUAAUGGAAAGGAAGAGUUGAAAUUCAGCUUGACUGUCCUCCAGUAGCUACUUACUUGCUCCCAGAAGUUGGUAACUAACUGAAACUCUCUAGUCUUGUUUUUUUCAUUUGCGAUAUGAGCUCUUUGAAUCUCUUUUAGUAAAUCUUUGAUUUUAUAGUUUAGGAGGCUAGUACACUUCU